rnacentral:tRNA from 1 species
GCGCCCCUAGCUCAACUGGAUAGAGCAGCGGACUCUUAAUCCGCCGGUUCAGGGUUCGAGCCCCUGGGGGCGUACCA